GUGGAUGGAGCUCAGUGGUAGAGUGCUUGCCUAGCAUGUGUGGGGUCCUGGGUUUGAUCCCCAGCACCACC
rnacentral:tRNA from 1 species